ACGGACCAAUGAUGAGGGAUUCUGGGAGUUGAAGUCCACACUCUAAAAGACCAUAGUUUGGGGGUUAUUCAGAGCUUCUCCAGAGUGAUGAAGGAAAGACUGGGUUAGAGUCGGGGUGACGUCGCAACUCCCUACGGACGGUGAUAGGCCACCAGAGUGGUUUGAAUCCACCAAUCAGAGGACGCGGGGUAUUUUGGCGUCACGGAGCGGCCAUUUCAAGCGCCUGAGUGACAGACAAACUCCCUCGGCGUCUACGAAGGAAGGCUCCCAAGAAGCGGCCUGUCAAGAAUUGGCUGCCUCUGACAGAGUGAACCACGAACACUUAUACCAUGGAGGACUUGAAAGCAGCCUUGCAUUCAGAAUGUGAGGUGAUGGAAGCAAAACCCAGUGUGUGUGUGAAUAACAGUAAGUGAUUUCAAAAAUAACAAAGUAGGGUAAAUGGUAAAGCAUAGAUAAAAUUGUAAAAAGCUUUGUAAUUAAUCUAUAAUGCUUGUCCUGGAUAUGUCUGAAAUGUC
rnacentral:lncRNA from 11 species